GAGCAAUAACACUAUUUUUAAAACGUUUUUGAGCAUUUAAAAAACUAAAUAGAUAAUUAAGAAUGAUCUUAUAAAUAACUGACCUGUAUUUGAAUUUAUUACGUCAAUUGAAACUUAGUGAAAUGUUGCAUAUUUUAGUAGAUUAUGCUAUAAAAAUACGUAUUUAUUAAUGUUUAUUUGCAAUAAAAUAACUGGCGGGCAAAAUUACAGAUCGAAUUAUUUUUAAGGUUUCUCUUAAAUUUUCUUAAAAUAUGAUUUUAGCACACCCCAGAAAACAAUGGUCAAAACAAUAAAAAAUUGUCUAAUAAUGCUAAGAAAGGUUGUAAAUAUUAAUCUUAAAAUACUAGACAUUUUGCAUUUUCUUUUAUUUGAAUACACCAGAAUGCAGCUUUAUUUAACCAAUGUGUGUUCUACUCAUUUAUGUGCAUUUUUAAAAGGACUGUAUUUUUAAUAAAUAAAUAAUUAAAAAUAUUUUUAUGUAGAAAAAAGCUAACAAAUGAAAUAUCUGAGCUAAAUUUUUUGUUCAGUAGAAUUCUCUAAGGAAAUUAAUGACGAAAAAUGAAAGUGUCAUGUUAUUGCCUGCCUGAAAUGUCUUAUCUUUACCCUUACUUUUUUUGUCUGGGUAUAAAUAUCUAAUUUUCCCUUACAUGAUAUUUUUUUUCUUUUCUGCAAUACUUUGGGAUUGGGAGUAACUUGUGCUGAUUUAUGUAAAAUGCUAGAUAAUGUUGGAAAUAUGGUGAAAUAAGUGAAGCAGAGAAAAUGAUGUACAGAAAAUUUGGCUGACAUGAAUUAACACAGAAAAAUGAUGUUCUGUGCUAGCAGAAGGAUAUCUUUGAUAUAUAGAGUUAGUUCAUUUGAAAAGGCGAAAUGGAAACUAUAACCAUUAUAAAAACUUCUGAAAAUGGGGAGACUACUACUGAAGAAGCGCAAGUUCAAGAGACUACAAACUUGAACAAUGAGGUUAUAAGGACUAUCACUAUUAUUGAACCUUCAGAACAUGAUUAUUCUAAUGAAGAACAUUCUCAGCAGAUCGAAAUGGAACAAUCUGCUGAUGAGGCUGUGUCAUAUGGAACUCCGAAAUUAGUACAGUGGAAUGAAAAUUUGGCUCUUUUGCUUUUAAACACCUACAAAGAGUAUGUACAAGAGUUUGCUUCUCCAUUCACCAAAAAGAAGACAGUUUGGAAGAAGAUUUCUGAAAUCUUGAAUAAUGUGCACGGACUAGGUGUAACUCCGCAACAGUGUGAAAACAAAUUUAAAAGUAUGACAAUAGCUUACAGAAAAGCGUGUGAGAAUAAUAAGAAAACUGUCGCAAGUCACAGAAGUCAAGCAUUGUUUAAAGAAUUAGAUGAUUUGUAUAGACACAAUCCCGUGGUGCACCACAUUGGAGUAGCUUCUUCUUCAUCGGGGUUUCAAUUUCAAAACGAUGGUGAUUCACAAGCCGAACAUCUUCUGAAAACUCUGGUUAAAGGAAAGCCAUUUAAAAGGAAAAGGCUGGAAAUUCCUGAUUGGGUAGGAAAAAUUCUGGCAGGCAUUGAGAAACGACAUGCGGAGCGAAUGGAAAAAUAUGAUAGACUAAUUUCAGUUUUAGAAAAAAUUGCCAACAAACCUUAGGAUUCAAACUGUUUAAUUAGGGAUACUUUAAUUUUUAAAAACUCAUUUAUUUUUGUUGUGUUUCUCAUAAUUUGCUCAAUAAUGUUGGCAUUGAAGUUAUUUUGAAAUAUGGGUAAUUUUGAAUAAACUAGGCCAACUUAGGAAAUUUGUCACAUGAUUGUCAACAAUAAAUAUAGUGAGUGAAAUGUCUUAUUCUAUUUCCAAAAAAAAAGAAGCUAUUUUUGAAAUAUUGUUCUGAUUUUAGUGAGUUUGAAUUUGAUUAUACAAAAAAUGUCAAAAAUAAAUAUUUUAUUCAUAGUCUCUAUUUUUAUGAAUUCAGCUAAUUUAUUUGUAUUAGCUAAGUGUAUUUUAUUUUUAAAAAAAAUAGUUGAAAAUAAAUAUUUUGAAACUCAUAUUUCUUUCUUUUCUUAUAAAGCAUUCAAUGUUUGUAAUUUAAUAUCAUACGAUAAUAUAAUUAUUUGUACUGCAUCAGUUUUAAAUGAGACUCUUAACAAUUUUAAAAAAAGAUCUAGCUGCUCAAUUCCAAUCAAACAAUUUUCAUAAUAGAGUUUGAAUGAUGAUUAUUUUUAUGCAUUUACUGUGUUAUUUUUGGUUUAUAUUUUAACGUUUCAGGAGUAGGUGUUAAAUAAGUAAUUGGUCCAUUAUUUUACAAACAAAAAAAAAAGGCAAUGAGUACUAUAAAAGUUCUUCAAGCUUUUGUCCUUUCUAUUUUUACGAAAUUAAUUAGUAAAAAAAAUUUUUAUUGUGCAACCAUUUCUAAGGUGUGAAAUAAUGUCAACGAAUUCUGUAACAGGUAAUCUACAGCAGACUUUCUCUGCAGAUUGCUUGUUUUCAAACUCAUUUAUUCAACUCUGUGUGCAUGCUGUCAAAGGGUUUAAAAAAUUUCUGGAAUAUUUUUGACCAUUAAUUUUUAAAAUUACUAGAAAUGCGCUUAAAAACUGUCAGAGAGUUGAAUAAAUUAUUUUCUCUACAUUUAUGUGUUACUAAUAUUGAAAUAAAACAUGUACCUGACUUUAAUUUAAGAGUACCACUAUAAUUAUUUUUGUUUUGGUAUAUUAAAUGCUACUAUUUUGUGUUUAUAAUCAUUUGGUUUGCCUACAAAUAAAGAUGUAUUUGACUUAUGAUCAUUAUAUUUAUAUGAAAUGUAAAUAUGUACUUUUCAACAACAUGUAUAAAUAAAUACUUUUUCUCACUUUA
rnacentral:misc_RNA from 1 species